rnacentral:rRNA from 1 species
GACGAACGCUGGCGGCGUGCUUAACACAUGCAAGUCGAACGGAAAGGCCCUGCUUUUGUGGGGUGCUCGAGUGGCGAACGGGUGAGUAAUACGUGAGUAACCUGCCCUUGACUUUGGGAUAACUUCAGGAAACUGGGGCUAAUACCGGAUAGGAGCUCCUGCUGCAUGGUGGGGGUUGGAAAGUUUCGGCGGUUGGGGAUGGACUCGCGGCUUAUCAGCUUGUUGGUGGGGUAGUGGCUUACCAAGGCUUUGACGGGUAGCCGGCCUGAGAGGGUGACCGGCCACAUUGGGACUGAGAUACGGCCCAGACUCCUACGGGAGGCAGCAGUGGGGAAUAUUGCACAAUGGGCGGAAGCCUGAUGCAGCAACGCCGCGUGCGGGAUGACGGCCUUCGGGUUGUAAACCGCUUUCGCCUGUGACGAAGCGUGAGUGACGGUAAUGGGUAAAGAAGCACCGGCUAACUACGUGCCAGCAGCCGCGGUGAUACGUAGGGUGCGAGCGUUGUCCGGAUUUAUUGGGCGUAAAGGGCUCGUAGGUGGUUGAUCGCGUCGGAAGUGUAAUCUUGGGGCUUAACCCUGAGCGUGCUUUCGAUACGGGUUGACUUGAGGAAGGUAGGGGAGAAUGGAAUUCCUGGUGGAGCGGUGGAAUGCGCAGAUAUCAGGAGGAACACCAGUGGCGAAGGCGGUUCUCUGGGCCUUUCCUGACGCUGAGGAGCGAAAGCGUGGGGAGCGAACAGGCUUAGAUACCCUGGUAGUCCACGCUGUAAACGGUGGGUACUAGGUGUGGGGUCCAUUCCACGGGUUCCGUGCCGUAGCAAACGCUUUAAGUACCCCGCCUGGGGAGUACGGCCGCAAGGCUAAAACUCAAAGGAAUUGACGGGGCCCCGCACAAGCGGCGGAGCAUGCGGAUUAAUUCGAUGCAACGCGUAGAACCUUACCUGGGUUUGACAUGGAUCGGGAGCGCUCAGAGAUGGGUGUGCCUCUUUUGGGGUCGGUUCACAGGUGGUGCAUGGCUGUCGUCAGCUCGUGUCGUGAGAUGUUGGGUUAAGUCCCGCAACGAGCGCAACCCUUGUUCACUGUUGCCAGCACGUUAUGGUGGGGACUCAGUGGAGACCGCCGGGGUCAACUCGGAGGAAGGUGGGGAUGACGUCAAGUCAUCAUGCCCCUUAUGUCCAGGGCUUCACGCAUGCUACAAUGGCUGGUACAGAGAGUGGCGAGCCUGUGAGGGUGAGCGAAUCUCGGAAAGCCGGUCUCAGUUCGGAUUGGGGUCUGCAACUCGACCUCAUGAAGUCGGAGUCGCUAGUAAUCGCAGAUCAGCAACGCUGCGGUGAAUACGUUCCCGGGGCU